CACUUUCUUUCCCAUUUCCUUAACAGAAAAUUCAACUUUCAACUCACACUACAUUAACACAACAAUACAUAAAUAAAACAACGUAAGACCCAUUCUUCUCUCAGCCAUGUCACUCACUGUUAAAAAAUUAGCAAUGUCUCACCUCGUGUCCCUCAACAAAAACGCCUAUAUUCGUGCUUAUCUCCGUGGACUAAUGGUACUAGUCGUUGCAGCUUCUCCGUUUGCGUUGGCCAAACUGGGUCUGGUGAUUCCUCUGAUACGUCUGAUUAGAGGAUGGUGCUGGAAUAAGUCACCAAGAAUUUCAAAGAUGGCAUAAUGGAGGUGGAACUUUCCCCAAGUCAACUUGCAUUGACCCGACUGUGCUAAUAGAGAUGGGUGCCAUAGUUCAUCCAAAAUCUGUUGUUGGUGCAUAUGUUCAUACUGGAUCAGGAACUGUUAUUGGACCUCAUGUUACAAUCAGCCAUUUGACAAAAAUAGGAAUCAUAAUGUAUACUGUUGGAGAAGAACAAAGUUGCAAUGCACAUAGAGGAUCCCUAAGUGGCAUGGAGUACAUAUCAAUAUAUUUUACCAAAAUGUCAAACUCGUUUGUCAUAUAGAGAAAAUCAAUCAACAUGAAGGAGAUGUUUUCAGUGGCUUUUGUAAAUCUGGACUCUAGUGCCAGCUUACUAUAUAUACAUUGCAGUGACUAUCUAUGUAGGAGCCCCCAAAAAAGGGCUUGUGAUGUAAUAUACCUACCUAUUUAGA